GACGAACGCUGGCGGCGUGCCUAAUACAUGCAAGUAGAACGCCGUUGCGCACGUGUGAGUCACGCGUACGUAACUGCCUUGUAUCGGGGGAUAACUAUUGGCAACGAUAGCUAAUACCUCAUACUACCAGAUGGACCUGCGUUGUAUUAGCUAGUUGUUGGGGUAACGGCUCACCAAGGCAACGAUACAUAGCCGAGCUGAGAGGGUGAUCGGCAAAACUGGGAAGGAGACACGGCCCAGACUCCGACGGGAGGUAGCAGUAGGGAAGCAGCGGAAAGGGACGGAAGUCUGACCGAGCAACGCCGCGGGAGUGAAGAAGGUUGUCGGAUUGGAAAGCGCGGUUGUAAGAGAAGCGGUAUCUUACCAGAAAGGGACGGCUAACUACGUGCCAGCAGCCGCGGUAAUAC
rnacentral:rRNA from 1 species